UACAGAGGUCUCGAGCGUUGUUCGGAUUCAUUGGGCGUAAAGGGUGCGUAGGUGGCAGGGUAAGUCGGAUGUGAAAUCCCGGGGCUCAACCUCGGAACUGCAUUCGAUACUGCUUUGCUUGAGUACUGGAGAGGAGAUUGGAAUUUACGGUGUAGCAGUGAAAUGCGUAGAUAUCGUAAGGAAGACCAGUGGCGAAGGCGGAUCUCUGGACAGUUACUGACACUGAGGCACGAAGGCCACGGGAGCAAACUGG
rnacentral:rRNA from 1 species